rnacentral:tRNA from 1 species
AGCUCAAUUGGUAGAGUAUUUCGCUUACACCGAAAAUGUUAGCGGUUCAAGUCCGUU